rnacentral:rRNA from 1 species
CGGCUCGUAAAGCUCUGUUGUUAAAGAAGAACACGUAUGAGAGUAACUGUUCAUACGUUGACGGUAUUUAACCAGAAAGUCACGGCUAACUACGUGCCAGCAGCCGCGGUAAUACGUAGGUGGCAAGCGUUAUCCGGAUUUAUUGGGCGUAAAGAGAGUGCAGGCGGUUUUCUAAGUCUGAUGUGAAAGCCUUCGGCUUAACCGGAGAAGUGCAUCGGAAACUGGAUAACUUGAGUGCAGAAGAGGGUAGUGGAACUCCAUGUGUAGCGGUGGAAUGCGUAGAUAUAUGGAAGAACACCAGUGGCGAAGGCGGCUACCUGGUCUGCAACUGACGCUGAGACUCGAAAGCAUGGGUAGCGAACAGGAUUAGAUACCCUGGUAG